rnacentral:rRNA from 1 species
GUGGGGAAUAUUGGACAAUGGGCGCAAGCCUGAUCCAGCAAUGCCGCGUGUGUGAAGAAGGUCUUCGGAUCGUAAAGCACUUUCGACGGGGACGAUGAUGACGGUACCCGUAGAAGAAGCCCCGGCUAACUUCGUGCCAGCAGCCGCGGUAAUACGAAGGGGGCUAGCGUUACUCGGAAUUACUGGGCGUAAAGGGCGCGUAGGCGGCGCUCCAAGUUAGGCGUGAAAGUCCUGGGCUCAACCUGGGAACUGCGCUUGAUACUGGAGUGCUUGAGGAUGGAAGAGGGUUGUGGAAUUCCCAGUGUAGAGGUGAAAUUCGUAGAUAUUGGGAAGAACACCGGUGGCGAAGGCGGCAACCUGGUCCAUUACUGACGCUGAGGCGCGACAGCGUGGGGAGCAAACAGG